UACGUAGGGUGCAAGCGUUGUCCGGAAUUAUUGGGCGUAAAGAGCUCGUAGGCGGCUUGUUGCGUCGACUGUGAAAACCCGCGGCUUAACCGCGGGCUUGCAGUUGAUACGGGCAGGCUAGAGUUCGGUAGGGGAGACUGGAAUUCCUGGUGUAGCGGUGAAAUGCGCAGAUAUCAGAAGGAACACCGGUGGCGAAGGCGGGUCUCUGGGCCGAUACUGACGCUGAGGAGCGAAAGCGUGGGGAGCGAACAGG
rnacentral:rRNA from 1 species